rnacentral:tRNA from 1 species
AAGGAAUUAGUUAAAUUAAUAACCUUAAAAUGUCAAUUUAAAAUUACCUUAAAGUAUUCCUUG